AUUUGGUUGUGUUGUGAGCUUUUGCAGCGCGUUUCUGUAUUUUGUUGUGUUGUGAAUAUUUGGAGCACACGUGUGUUGUGAAACUGAUGAAGAUGUUUUCUUAAUUUGCGGGUGUUUUUUUUUUAUUUGCAUGCGUUUUUUUCUAUUUGCAUGCGUCUUCUUUAGGUUGCAGCACGUUGAGCUCUGUCGGUAUUGUAGAAUAAUCAUUUUUUAGAUGGUAUAAUAAUCAUUCUUAGAUAUCAAAAUACUUAUAUGAGUUUCUAGGCCUUUGUGUGAGCCAGGAGAGAGCAUAUGAGGUUACUAAAAGUGUUGAUGCUGCAGAGAACACAAAGAAUGGUAUACAACCUUGAAAUACAGGAUGUACUUAUUUAAUCAGUUAUUAUAUGAAUGGUGUCUUGUAUUCUUGCAGCUGGUGUUUUGCUGUUUCUGUUAAUUAGUAGUAUUCUAACAUAUAUCUUUGGUGUAUUUCCUUUAUGCUGACACGUAUCUCUAAAAUAUAUGGUGUGUCUCAUUAAAAUACAGGAUGCACUUCUUACGAAAACACUUUUAAUAAGUUAGAUAUCUCUUAUAUGAUAUGUUUCUGGCAUGGUGUUUUACCCUGAUGAGUUAAAUAUCUUUGGAGCUUGUAUUUUCUUUCAUUAAUCAAAUGAUACUGUGUAUGAACAAACAAGGCCGCCUCAUUAUGAGGGUACACUGAAAUGUAGGGCAAAGGUAAAAGGUAUGUGAUGGGGACAUGGCUGUUUGUAUCAUACACAGGUUUUCUAAAAUUGAUGCACUUUUACCAUGAACUUAUGUCAAAAAUAAGUGGAGUUACCAGUUGAUGUAUGUUUUUUAAAAAAUAAUUAGAUGGGGGACUUUCCACCAAUAUUUAAUUAGUAAGGAAAAUAGAACAUAUUGGUGGCGAAGGAAAGAGACAAGAGCAAUUAUUCUAUUGGUCAGAGAUAAUGGGCAAGAAGAUAACAAAAAGGUAUAUAACUGAGAACUCAGGAGGAUAGAGUCAGAACAAUCAGCUGACUGGUCUCUUGUUUGUUGGUGAUCAAUAAACUACAGCUUUGGCAUCUGGAACUCAAGACUCUGAAAAUUUGCUUCAACUUAGAGAAACUCUUCGCAAUAUUCCACGACAUCGGCCACCGUACUUUUUUACUGUAUUUUGGGCAUUUGGUGUGCUCCAUGCUCCCAAGAUCAUCUCGGCACCUGUCCCGCGGUGUCCUCUGACUGUCCGGAAGUGCUGAGAGAGCCCGGCUGCGGAUGCUGUUUAGCUUGUGCUCUGAAGAAAGGACCUAUCAACGAUUAUGAAAACUUGGAUCGCAUCGAUCAACUGCUGACUGAACCAUUAAUUAAUGAAACAACGGGUCAGAGCAAAUCUGUCAACAGAUGUGUACUGCAAGGUAU